rnacentral:rRNA from 1 species
CGUGCUGGACUGYGUGCAAGUUUCCUGGAUACGGAACAUCAUAGAGGGUGAGAAUCCCGUCCUUCACACAGACUGCCAGUGCUUUGUGAUGCGCUCUCGACGAGUCGAGUUGUUUGGGAUUGCAGCUCAAAAUGGGAGGUAAAUUCCUUCUAAAGCUAAAUAUUGGCGAGAGACCGAUAGCGAACAAGUACCGUGAGGGAAAGAUGAAAAGCACUUUGGAAAGAGAGUUAAACAGUACGUGAAAUUGUUAAAAGGGAAACGCUUGAAGUCAGUCAUGUUUGCUUGGACUCAGCCUUACCUCGGUUUGGUGCAUUUCCUUGCAGACGGGCCAGCGUUCAUGUUGUUUGCCAGAGAAGGAGCGAGAGAAUGUGACUCCUUUGGGAGUGUUAUAGCUCUCACUCGCAUGUGGGGAACAAUAUGAAGUGGUACAGCACGCUUUGGCGGUGCUUGUGUUGGCAUAAUGGCUUUAAACGACCCGUCUUGAAACACGGACCAAGGAGUCUAACAUGUCUGCGAGUGUUUGGGUGGAAAACCCGAGCGCGCAAUGAAAGUGAUGGCUGGGAAUCCCUUUUUUGGGAGGCACCGGUGCCCCCGAGCUGACCUUCUGUGACGCAWCGGGAGGCAGAGCAUAUAUCUUUGGGACCCCGAAAGAUGGUGGAACUAUGCCCUGAAUAGGGGCGAAGCCAGGAGGAAACUCUUGGUGGAAGGCUCCGUAACCGAUUCUUGA